rnacentral:lncRNA from 1 species
UUUAAACAAUGAGGAGAGCUUUCCCCAGAAUCCUUUAAAUGAAGAGCAUGCUGAUGCUGACAGUAGCCACUAACAAAUUCAUAAGAUACACCCUGCAUAAGCAGUAAGUGCCUGUGUGCAUCUGGCUUUGGGCAGCUGCUGAAGAGACAAACACUACGUGCACGUGCACACAUACAGACGAUAAGAGUAAUGUUGCUAUA